rnacentral:snRNA from 1 species
GUCUAUGAGGUAAUGUGGUUGUGACAUGUGUCACUCCAUUAGUCCCAGGGUUUAUUCAGCUGAUCUGGCCAGGCAAGUAUCCCCUUCUCUUCUCUCACAGAGACAUAUGUAUCUUUCUUGGCAUGUUUAUUUCCCCAAAGCUGUACACUCUGUAGAAGCCGACUACUUGUUCAUAAAGAAUCUACAUAUAGCAGUGCCCUGGUAGAGCCUCCAAGCAAGCUCUCAAUGCCAGGAUGUGUUUUCCUGGCACUGUUGGUGGAGCCCCUAAUCUACCUGUUCCCCAUCACUACUACAAAGCCCACUUCAAUAAUCUGUCCUUCAGAUACAGCCUUUAUCUCAUU